rnacentral:rRNA from 1 species
GUACACGCUGUGACUAGCAUAUCAAUAAGCGGAGGAAAAGAAACUAACAAGGAUUCCCCUAGUAACGGCGAGUGAAGCGGGAAGAGCUCAAAUUUGAAAUCUUAAAGGGUUUCCCUUUACGAAUUGUAGUUUAAAGAAGUGUUUUCUGUUGAGGUUUUGGUAAAAGUUCUUUGGAAUAGGACAUCAUAGAGGGUGAGAAUCCCGUAUUUGACCUUUACUUUCAACUUUGUGAUACACUUCCAAAGAGUCGGAUUGUUUGGGAAUGCAGUCCAAAAUGGGUGGUAAAUUUCAUCUAAAGCUAAAUAUUGGCGAGAGACCGAUAGCGAACAAGUACCGUGAGGGAAAGAUGAAAAGAACUUUGAAAAGAGAGUUAAACAGUACGUGAAAUUGUCAAAAGGGAAGCGUUUGACACCAGUGUUGUUUUUCUGAAAAUCAAUUAAAGAACUGUUUAUGCUAAGUUGUUUAGACUUUAUCAGCUAACUGUUUAGUUUUGAGCUUUUCUUUAAUGCACUUUUCAGUUAACAAGUCAACAUCAAUUUCUUUUGCUGUAAAAAAGCUUGAGGAAGGUGGCUUGAGAUUCGUCUUAAGUGUUUAUAGCCUCUUGCCUAUGCAGUCGGAGAGAUUGAGGUCUGCAGCGUAGAUCCUUCGGGGCUAAAUGCAUUUGUGCUAAGUUAUAGCAUUUUAUAGACAACUUGUUGACUAUGAUUUGUCUUGUAGCUUACUCGCUUAUGUUAUUUUACCUACGCUUAGGAUGUUGACACACGCGCGUGCUCGACUCUAUACAUGACUCUGUGCAUAUCAAUAAGCGGAGGAAAAGGCUGCGGAACUGAACGACCGCUACCUACGCUUAGGAUGUUGAAGAUGUAGCACAUCAU